UGCUAUGUAAGGGCAGUCCUUCUGUCUUGGUGUUGGCAGAAGCUUGCUAUAAUAGAAGCUUACAUGUAACAAAGGACUGUGGACUCCCUCCGCAUACCAGCCUACACAGUCACUUCAGAAGUCCAUACUGACAGAACAAUGGACCCUUGAAGUUCAUCUGGUUCGAUGAUGUGGAUGACUUUCUAGAAAAUUCUGGAGGACCUACUGGAAGCUGAUGCUCCUCAGGGCUCUUAACUGCUGAGGAUGAAGCUACAGACCAGAGAGCCUGGUUUUAUCAGUGAGAAGCUAUGGAGCAGAGGAACCUUGUCGUUGCCAAUAAGACUGGGUUGAGCUUCACACAUUCACAACCUAAGGCCAUUCUACCUUGUGUACAGUGAAAAUGGAGCCACCUCUGAGGAAGCAGCAAAACUGAAAUAUUUGAUGUGGAAUGAAUCAAUUACAGCCAUAGACAUGCUAGUCUGGUCUUACCCUAGAAACCAUCAAAGGGUGAAGAUGCCAAAAAGGAGUAAAAACUGAAGUGGAAAUCUGAGAUCUUACUCCAGUGGGUGGGUCCUACUCAGUCCUGGGUUGCCCCACAUGCGAGGCUGUUUUGAUCCACUGUGUACGUUACAGGUUGAGUCUUUAGGACUAUGUCUAGAGAUGAAGAGCAGAAUGAAGGCACAUGAGACAGUGCUUGUGGAGGAGAAGAUAUGUCCACAUAUGUGUCACAUUGAUGGAAGCUAGAUAUCAAAUAUCAGUAGACAUUUGGCCAACCUCACCAGAAGCUGCCCUACUGACUUCUAACUCACUACGAAGCCAAGAAUGCCUUGACCUGAUCCUCCUCUACCACUUCUCUCCCUGUGGGUUCUGGAAUUGAUGGCAUUCAUCAGCACACUUGCUUUCCUGCAGCACUGGGGAUCAAACCUAGAGAUCCUUGCAUGCUAGGCAAGCUCUGUGCCCGCUAAACUACACCAAAAGUUUUAAAGAGGGGAUAGUACUGGGAUCAAGAGAGAUGGGUCUUUAUAUCUUCAGACCAAACAUUUUUUGAAUGGAUGCAGUUUCCAUCAAAGCUCCUCACUGGACAAGCCAGAGCGCAGAGAAGUGGAGAGAGAAGACGGUGGAUCUGAAGAGCAAGGGGCACACUUGGUACAGGAGUAAAGCAGGAGAAGCCGGGACCCUGAAAAGAUUGGUCUUAUGACCUGUCGAUUAUGUCAUUCAUCGAUUGAUGGGACACGUACUGAGUAUCUACUGUGGGGUCAGACACUGUUGUAAGUCCCUGGGAACAGAAAGAUCCAUAGCACCAAGCAUCUGGCAUGGAAGAGAAGACUGACCACGUACACGUAAGUGAAAUUCUCAUCUAAGUGGAAGGUUAAAUUCCAAAUGCCUGACACAGCUCUUCAAACAGCUGUAUUUGAGGAGAUAUUUUCCCUGCUAACAUUUGUUAAAGAUAACAGGAAACCCACUUCCAGGAAGAACGGCAGUUUUGAGCCUGUGAACAGGGAAAACAAAACAGAACAACAACAACAAAAACCCAGGAUAUUAUAUCGAGACUGGAGAGCAAGGAGUAAAGCUGAUGAAAUGUCCAGUGAAGGAAGGUGCCUUCUGAGGCGGGCAGUCCACUUUUAGCCUGGCGCUGCUCACACCACUAACUUUCAGCCUUGAGAAUGGACAUGAGCCAAUGAAAACGAAUCAUAAUUCAUGGAUGCAGGGAUGAGGGCUCUCUGUGGGUGCACUGCUGUGAUGCAUACGGGGUAAAUGCCUGGGAUUUUCUCUCACGUGCAUUCUGCCCACAUGAAAUACAGAAGUUUAACAAGAGACACUGGAUUUGAACAUUAAAAGACAGCAAAAAAUGAUGAUCAUCCAAGUCAUGUCUACUUGGCUCCAGGAUUUCCAAAUUAUUCCAGCAACUUCUCAAGAGUGAUGCAUUUUAUAUUCAAAGACAAUCAAGGCUAAGAGGAAGAACGCUAAAUACUAACUCAUAUGGAUCCUCACUUGGAAAGCAAAGAGGUUUGACUUCUAUAACCUCAGUUUUGAGGGUCCAAGUAAAGGAACAGAGGUGACGGCAGAGGACGGCUUGGGGUGGAAGAAGGGUUGGCCAGGUUACCAAAGAAGACAAGACAAGCCCCACAGGUCUCAGCUAUAGCAAUCACACUCUGAAGUCCUUGUUGUGGCAAAGGGGUCUCUUCCCUGGUGACAUUAAUAAAACCGGGUUCCUAUCUUACCAGCUGGCUCUCCAUGGCUCAAGCAGUGUUAUAGAAAGGCUCAUGUUGUAACAGACUCGAGUAACUCUCACUCAGUGACAGUAAGUUCGAUGGCUCUCAAGGAGCUGCACCUGCCCCUCAACACAGACCUCAGAACAGUCUUUCCCAGUCAGGUGUUCACAGGAGAGUCUCUGUAGCUUUGUGAGAGACCCCGGCUGGUAGCCUAGUUUGCUGAGAGAAUCUCAAGUACAGGACUGUAUUUUUCACAUUUCUCAUGCUGUGACAGAGUGUGUGACAAAGACAAUUUAAGGAAAGAAGCAUUUUUUUUUUUUGGCUCAUUGGUGUGAGGGGACAGUCCAUUAUUGUGGGGAGGUCAUGGCAUCAGAAGCUUGAGGUAGCUGGUCACUUUGGAUCCAUAGUCAGAAAGCGGAGAAAGAUGAAUGCUGAUACUCAGUUCCCUUUCUCAUUUUAUUUUCCUGGGACCCCAACACAUGGCAUGAUGUCGCCCACUUUAGAGUGCAUCUUUCUUCUUCAGUUAACUCUUCUGGAAAUGCCCCCACAGACACACAUAGAGCUGUGUUUCCAUAGUGAUUCUGAUCAGAUCAAAUUGACAAUGAAGACUUACUAUUACAAAGGCCCACUCAAAUCAUAUUUGGAUUUCUGAACCCACGAAACUGUAGGGUAAGGAAUAGUGCUCGUAAGCCAGUGCCUUGUGAAGAUUUGCUACACAGCAACAGAUAACUAGUACAGAGACAGUAAGGACAUGGCCCCUGGUAAAGGAUGAGCAGAGAUGUGGAAGCUCUCACUGGUCGGGCUGGGCUCUUCCCCAUCAAUCAAGAAAAUGUCCCACAGACACGUUCACUGGCCAAUCUGCUGAAGACAGUUUCCCAGUUGAGUCACAGAUAUUUCUAGGUUUGUAUCAAGUUGACAAAAAUUUUGACAUCUGAACAAAUGAUUUGUUUUUUUAACAUCUCUUAUUCUCUUAUCUUCCCAACAUGUGGGCUUGCAGAAUGGAAGGACAAGAAAGGAGAAAAUAAUUCCUCUAGGUGAGGGAGAAGGAUGAAGAUGCUAAACCAGGUGCCCCCUACACACUCAGUUCACACCUGACUGCAUUUCCAGUGAUAGAAGAAUAGAGGUUUCCUGUCUGACACAAAGUUGACGGAUUCCAGUGGACAACAUUUUUGCAAGUUUGGGAGGAAGAGCUUUCUGCUCAAUCAGGAAGGGAAAUUUGACACAGUAUUUGACAAUGUGAUUAGCAUAGUGUUGGAGGAUUAGUCGGCUUCAUGUAUAUAUGCCACCAAACUUGAGUAUUUACUAAAUGAGUUAGCUGUGGGUACAGAUAAAAAGGAGGUGGAGGCUCUGAGAACUAGAGGAUGCCUUGGGGGCAGGACUUUAGAUUAUGAAUGGUGAGAAAUCACUCCAGGACCAAAACCCCUUUGUCCACUAAUGCCCAUCAAUUAACUGACUGAACAUGGGAGUUCUCAAGUAUUUGACAACAGAUUCUUCACACCUCUGAGUGUAUACUGAUGGAGCCAUCUUAGAACGGUGCUAUG